rnacentral:rRNA from 1 species
UACGUAGGGCGCAAGCGUUAUCCGGAAUUAUUGGGCGUAAAGAGCUCGUAGGCGGUUUGUCGCGUCUGCUGUGAAAGACCGGGGCUCAACUCCGGUUCUGCAGUGGGUACGGGCAGACUAGAGUGAUGUAGGGGAGACUGGAAUUCCUGGUGUAGCGGUGAAAUGCGCAGAUAUCAGGAGGAACACCGAUGGGCGAAGGCAGGUCUCUGGGCAUUAACUGACGCUGAGGAGCGAAAGCAUGGGGAGCGAACAGG